ACAUGCAAGUCGAACGGGCAGCACGGGAGCAAUCCUGGUGGCGAGUGGCGAACGGGUGAGUAAAGUAUCGGAACGUGCCCAGUCGUGGGGGAUAACGUAGCGAAAGUUACGCUAAUACCGCAUACGAUCUAUGGAUGAAAGCGGGGGAUCGCAAGACCUCGCGCGAUUGGAGCGGCCGAUAUCAGAUUAGGUAGUUGGUGGGGUAAAGGCUCACCAAGCCGACGAUCUGUAGCUGGUCUGAGAGGACGACCAGCCACACUGGGACUGAGACACGGCCCAGACUCCUACGGGAGGCAGCAGUGGGGAAUUUUGGACAAUGGGCGAAAGCCUGAUCCAGCCAUGCCGCGUGCAGGAUGAAGGCCUUCGGGUUGUAAACUGCUUUUGUACGGAACGAAAAGGUUUGGCCUAAUAAGCUGAGCUCAUGACGGUACCGUAAGAAUAAGCACCGGCUAACUACGUGCCAGCAGCCGCGGUAAUACGUAGGGUGCGAGCGUUAAUCGGAAUUACUGGGCGUAAAGCGUGCGCAGGCGGUUAUGUAAGACAGAUGUGAAAUCCCCGGGCUCAACCUGGGAACUGCAUUAGUGACUGCAUAGCUGGAGUACGGCAGAGGGGGAUGGAAUUCCGCGUGUAGCAGUGAAAUGCGUAGAUAUGCGGAGGACACCGAUGGCGAAGGCAAUCCCCUGGGCCUGUACUGACGCUCAUGCACGAAAGCGUGGGGAGC
rnacentral:rRNA from 1 species